rnacentral:rRNA from 1 species
UACGUAGGGGGCAAGCGUUGUCCGGAUUUAUUGGGCGUAAAGAGCGUGUAGGCGGCCUGACAGGUCUGCUGUGAAAACUCGAGGCUCAACCUCGAGAUGUCGGCGGAAACCGUCUGGCUAGAGUCCGGAAGAGGAGAGUGGAAUUCCUGGUGUAGCGGUGAAAUGCGCAGAUAUCAGGAAGAACACCCGUGGCGAAGGCGGCUCUCUGGAACGCAACUGACGCUGAGACGCGAAAGCGUGGGGAGCAAACAGG